CAAUAAAGAACGUGACGUGCCUCAUAAAUAUCCCGAGCCUUCAAUCUUUGAAAUUAUGUGACUGCAAUGAAAUUGUUCAAGUAAUAAGUGAAGAUUCUAGGCAAAAUGUCUUCGAAAAUCUGGUGAAAUUAUCUUUGAAACGCUUACCAAAGCUCAAGUCCAUCUGCUGCCAAGCCCUACAAUUUCCUUCCCUUGUGAAGCUAGCUGUAUUUGAUUGCCCGAACCUACGAAGCCUUCCAUUGGAUUGCAACAGCGCA
rnacentral:misc_RNA from 1 species